GAUCGAGUAAUUAACUCUCUCAUUUUGUGGAAACGAGUAAUUAACUCUUAAACAUCAAUUUCUCCGAAUAUAAAGAAUAUAAAACUAGCCAAACAAAUUUUUAAAAAACAGCAUUUUUAGGAUUACCCUACAAAAAUAGUUCGAGACUUUUAUAUAUAUGUUUACUUUACAUGUAAGGUUUUCUACCAUAAAACAAUAAAACGUUUCUUUAAAGAGAAAACUACAAUGUCGUUAUCCAAAAUUGUUGUAUUUUGUAUCAUCCUCAUUUCACUGGUUAAUCUUCAUGAAUGCAAUUUUUUUAAAGAUGACAAGCCAUUGACAAAUCCUAUCACAGGAAGAAAGACAGGAAAACCACCAUGCAAACCACAAGGAGAUCAUUUCGUUUGCACUGGCGAUGAACAGCUGACAACGACUACCAUCGCAGGCUGUUGGAGGAACUGCUUAAUAUAUAAUUAACCCAACACCUCCUUUUCAAAGUUUUAAGAAAUUUGAAGAGCAAUUAUAUACCAAUUUAUUUCCUUAUAGUACAGAUAGUAAAUAUUCAUGUGACUUCACUAAAAAUAAUUGUGCCUACCUUAACUUUGCUUAGUAACUUUAAAUGUCUAUGUAAUAUAUACAUAAUACUAAAUUUUUCAUCUC